rnacentral:rRNA from 1 species
UUAGCCCUUAAGCAUCUUGGAAGUUAGUGGAACGGUCCUGGAAAGGCCGGCGAUACAGGGUGAUAGCCCCGUACACGAAAACAACCUUGAUGUGAAAUCGAGUAGGGCGGGACACGUGACAUCCUGUCUGAAUAUGGGGGGACCAUCCUCCAAGGCUAAAUACUCCUGACUGACCGAUAGUGAACCAGUACCGUGAGGGAAAGGCGAAAAGAACCCCUGUGAGGGGAGUGAAAUAGAACCUGAAACCGUGUACGUACAAGCAGUGGGAGCCCUUCGGGGUGACUGCGUACCUUUUGUAUAAUGGGUCAGCGACUUACAUUUUGUAGCGAGGUUAACCGUAUAGGGGAGCCGUAGGGAAACCGAGUCUUAACUGGGCGUCUAGUUGCAAGGUGUAGACCCGAAACCGGGUGAUCUAGCCAUGGGCAGGUUGAAGGUUGAGUAACAUCAACUGGAGGACCGAACCCACUAACGUUGCAAAGUUAGGGGAUGACCUGUGGCUGGGGGUGAAAGGCCAAUCAAACUCGGAGAUAGCUGGUUCUCCCCGAAAGCUAUUUAGGUAGCGCCUCGGACGAAUACUACUGGGGGUAGAGCACUGUUUGGGCUAGGGGGUCAUCCCGACUUACCAACCCCAUGCAAACUCCGAAUACCAGUAAGUAAUAUCCGGGAGACACACGGCGGGUGCUAACGUCCGUCGUGAAGAGGGAAACAACCCAGACCGCCGGCUAAGGUCCCAAAGUUCUGGUUAAGUGGGAAACGAUGUGGGAAGGCUCAGACAGCUAGGAUGUUGGCUUAGAAGCAGCCAUCAUUUAAAGAAAGCGUAAUAGCUCACUAGUCGAGUCGGCCUGCGCGGAAGAUGUAACGGGGCUCAAACCAGGCACCGAAGCCGCGGAUUCACGCUAAGCGUGAGUGGUAGGGGAGCGU